GACGAACGCUGGCGGCGUGCUUAACACAUGCAAGUCGAACGGAAAGGCCCUGCUUUUGUGGGGUGCUCGAGUGGCGAACGGGUGAGUAACACGUGAGUAACCUGCCCUUGACUUUGGGAUAACUUCAGGAAACUGGAGCUAAUACCGGAUAGGAGCUCCUGCUGCAUGGUGGGGGUUGGAAAGUCUCGGCGGUUGGGGAUGGACUCGCGGCUUAUCAGCUUGUUGGUGGGGUAGUGGCUUACCAAGGCUUUGACGGGUAGCCGGCCUGAGAGGGUGACCGGCCACAUUGGGACUGAGAUACGGCCCAGACUCCUACGGGAGGCAGCAGUGGGGAAUAUUGCACAAUGGGCGGAAGCCUGAUGCAGCAACGCCGCGUGCGGGAUGACGGCCUUCGGGUUGUAAACCGCUUUCGCCUGUGACGAAGCGUGAGUGACGGUAAUGGGUAAAGAAGCACCGGCUAACUACGUG
rnacentral:rRNA from 1 species